rnacentral:rRNA from 1 species
AGCGAACGCUGGCGGCAGGCCUAAUACAUGCAAGUCGAACGGCUCUUCGGAGCAGUGGCGGACGGGUGAGUAACACGUGGGAACGUGCCCUUUGGUACGGAACAACUGAGGGAAACUUCAGCUAAUACCGUAUGUGCCCCCAUUCUUAGCGGGAUGGGUGUGAAAGAUUUAUCGCCAUUGGAGCGGCCCGCGUUGGCUUAGCUAGUUGGGGGGGUAAAGGCCCACCAAGGCUACGAUCCAUAGCUGGUCUGAGAGGAUGAUCAGCCACACUGGGACUGAGAUACGGCCAAGACUACGACGGGAGGGAGCAGUAGGGAAGCGUGCGCAAUCGGCGAAAGCCUGACGCAGCCAUGCCGCGUGAAUGAUGAAGGUCUUAGGAUUGUAAAAUUCUUUCACCGGGGAAGAUAAUGACGGUACCCGGAGAAGAAGCCCCGGUUAUCUUCGUGCCAGCAGCCGCAGUAA